UGGCUCAGCAGUUAAGAGCACUGGCUGUUCUCCCAGAGGACCUGGGUUCAAUUCCCAG
rnacentral:tRNA from 1 species